UACGUAGGUGGCAAGCGUUGUCCGGAAUUAUUGGGCGUAAAGCGCGCGCAGGCGGUUUCUUAAGUCUGAUGUGAAAUUUCGCGGCUCAACCGUGAGCGGUCAUUGGAAACUGGGAAACUUGAGUGCAGAAGAGAAGAGCGGAAUUCCACGUGUAGCGGUGAAAUGCGUAGAGAUGUGGAGGAACACCAGUGGCGAAGGCGGCUCUUUGGUCUGUAACUGACGCUGAGGCGCGAAAGCGUGGGGAGCGAACAGG
rnacentral:rRNA from 1 species